GAAAUACUCCCUCCGUCCGGAAAUACUUGUCAUCAAAAUGAAUAAAAGAAGAUGUAUGUAGAUGUAUUUUAGUUUUAGAUAUAUUCUUUUUAUCUAUUUUGAUGACAAGUAUUUUUGGAUGAAGGAAUACUUU
rfam:Triticum urartu cultivar G1812 contig147932, whole genome shotgun sequence.